rnacentral:rRNA from 1 species
AUUGAACGCUGGCGGCAGGCCUAACACAUGCAAGUCGAGCGAGCGGCGGACGGGUGAGUAAUGCCUGGGUAACUGCCUGAUGGAGGGGGAUAACUACUGGAAACGGUAGCUAAUACCGCAUACCAUCAGAUGUGCCCAGAUGGGAUUAGCUCGUAGGUGGGGUAACGGCUCACCUAGGCGACGAUCCCUAGCUGGUCUGAGAGGAUGACCAGCCAACCUGGAACUUGGACACGGUCCGAACUCCUACGCGAGGCAGCAGUGGGGAAUAUUGCACAAUGGGCGCAAGCCCGAUGCAGCCAUGCCGCGUGUGUGAAGAAGGCCUUCGGGUUGUAAAGCACUUUCAGCGGGGAGGCGUUACCCGCAGAAGAAGCACCGGCUAACUACGUGCCAGCAGCCGCGGUAAUUC